UUCAAUAUCUAUUUUAUUAUUGCCCUUUGCCAUAUCAUGAAGUUCUAUUUUGUUUUUUGAGCUCAUACAGACCUAGGUUAAUGUUUUGCUGAUCAGUUCUAUUUUUUGACUAUAGAGUUUUUAAACAUUGCAAUGGAGAUUUCACCUGUAAAAAGUUAUAAGGCCUUUACUAUAAUGUUAUGUGUUGUAUGUAUUAUAUUAUGUGUGCACACUUGUGUUUUGUGUUAUAUGUUUGAAUGUACGUAUGUCCAUAUAUCAUAUAUGAUGAGCGCUCAUGAUAAAAUGGAUCCAAAUAUUUUUUUUUCACAUGAUUUAUAUGGUUUAAUUUAAAUUGGGUAAACAACUGUUGAGGAUUGUUUUAAUAUGUAAACAAAAAAGAAGGUUAACAGAUCUGUUUGUUUACUUUUACCUUUCCUUUUCAUUAUAUUUAAUAAUUCUCUUAAAGAUAAUGUAAAUUGUUAAGAAAAUUGUUUUCUUUUAGUGCCUUCUGUAAUGUUACAUAAUUUUUUCUUUAGCCAUUAUUGCCAGAAUUCCUAUCUUCAUCCCAGUGCUGGUGAAGACAAUGUAAAUUGUUAAGAAAAUUGUUUUCUUUUAGUGCCUUCUGGAAUGUUACAUAAUUUUUUCUUUAGCCAUUAUUGCCAGAAUUCCUAUCUUCAUCCCAGUGCUGGUGAAGUCAAAGAUAAAACCAAUCUACAGCUUCUACAAUAGCCAUCACUGAACUGCUUGCAGAACUUGCCUGGACACAUUGUGAGCUCACCUGUAUGCAUUGUGAACUAUCUGUUGGUGCAGCGACUUAUGGUAGUGUUGGGGUAUUUUUGCUGAUGAUGUCACCGGUGGUACAAUUUUUCAAAGGAGCCCUCAAUUGGCUUAAUGUCAUGCAUCCUCCUCUACUAGUGAUGGUCUAAAAUUUGGGGGCCAACAGAGGUGAGGCAAAGAACCUCACCCCCCCACAGGUGCAAAGGCCUAUCCACAAGUAUGGCUAUAUGCUGGACCGGUAGUCAGUGACGGGUAUGAUCCAAUUGCAGUGGUACCAACCUAAGACAGGAGGCUGACGCCUAGAGGUCAGUUCAUCCGAUGACGGGUAAGGACCAUAUGUUGAAUUGGACUGCCUAACAGGCACGGUCCCUAAGCCACAUGCUUGUUGUUUAAACAGAGAGGGGGAGAUGUUGAGAGCCACAGCCUGAGGGGCCCCAGCAAACUUCCAGCUGCCAGCAAACUUCCAGCUGCCGGCUGAUGAUUGGCUCACAGCAGCCCCAGCAACAUCUAGCUGAUUGGCUCCUCGGCCCCAGCAACAUCUAGCUGAUUGGUUCCUCUGCGGUGAUGCUCAUUGGACUGUUUCCCUGCCCUUUCAGACCACGGAGCUGCUCAUUGGGGGACUUUUUUGGCUCCGCCCACGUGACCCAGCCAAUCGGCCUCAAGAGCAGGAGGAUUGUGGGAGGUGGAGAGAAGCUUGUGUGGGAGAGAGAGGCUUGGGGAAAGCCGGUGGUGGCAGUUGAGGCUCUGAGGGUUUUUCCUGAGAGACUAUUUUGUUUGUUGUGUGUGGUUCUAAAAAUAAAGUUAGUUUCUUUUGACAAGUGGCUCCUGAUUGUGCCCAGCCAGACUGCGGCAGAUGGAGAAACUUGGGAGAAAGAAACUUGGAAGAACGAACACAAACAGAUGAUGAAAUCGUGAUAAUCGGACCAUGAGCUCAGUGUUUUGCCUGCCUCAUCACAUGGCUCCUUGUCAACCUCACUAUACAAAGAAGAAAACAAGGUUCAGAGAGGUUAACUAAUAACCCUCUGGCGGAUCCAGGUCAAGUGACUCCAGAGUUCAAGUUCCUUAUCUCUGUGUUUGCCACUCGGUCGCCUGGCAUGAAGAAUGGGGUAAGGAAAGAGGCAUAUUCUUAGACAAUUGAUUAGGAUGCCUUGUUAUCUAUAAUUUGUUUUAAAAUUCUUCACUUUAAGCAGAGAAGUGUGUGUGUGUGUGUGUGUGUGUGUGUGUGUUUACAUUAACUUUAAACCUUAGAAAUAGUAAUUAUUUGAAUAUCAUAACUAGUAAUUCAGAUCAUCAGCAUGGUAAAUUAACACUACAAACUUCCAAACUUUGGGGCCACCCCAUCAAGUGCCACUUUCUAAAUCUGUGCCUGGAGAGUUCUCAUUAGCACAUGAGAUAGAAAUAAUUAUUCACUGUGAAGCCAGUUACAUUCCAACUAAGUGGAUUGCCAAACAUACAGCAUUAGGCAGCUCCAGCUCUGCCCUGAAGAAGAACGAGGGUGAGGAAGUCAACAUCCCAGGGGGUCUUGGACCUAGAACACUGCUAUGUGCUAUGUCCACAUGACUAACCCAAGAAGACUCUGCUUUCUGACCUAAGAAAAAGAAGUAGUGAAGGAGGGAGAGAGCUGUAAAUCACGAGAGAAUAACAUAUUUUGAAGAGUGAGGCAUGUUUAAAGCAAGCUAUUCCUCUAUGGGCCUGAAUAAAUGCCCUGUCUCUCCUCUACUGCACGUGGAGAAAUGAGAUGGUACUCACCACACUAAAGAAAGCCAGGCCAUUGGGAAGAAUGUCAAUAUCUUCAGCACCAGCUUCUGUAAGUUCAAGUAAGUGGAGAAAUAUCAUUUUCAGAUUGUUAUUCAUUAGAGAUAGCAUCACUGGGACUUUGUUUAUUCUAUCAGAGUGUCUGUAUCUUUAUGGAUGGUUCCAGUUUAUUCCAGGACCCUAUUCUCUUUAAUAAAUGUCAGUCUAAAACCUUUCCUAAACUGAACUUCUGACUUUAAAUGUUAGAUGUUUUAUGUUUACUCAAAUCAAAGUCAAGUUAUCACCACAUUUCCAGCUAUGAUAUAGAACAAGCUGACAUCUGUACACACUUAUGAUAAACAUCCAGAUGUCUGGAUAAAAGUAAUUGACAUCAGGGGAAUAUUUCCUUCAGAAACCAGAACUCAUAGUCAUUUAACCAUGCAAAUUUCCUUGUCCUCUUCUCUGCUCAUCCAAUCUGCAACAAAAAGACAUCUCUCUCAUUAACGGAGAUAAAACACCUGGGAUUACAUAUUCCUUCUUUUACAAACAGUGCCUACUUGUUCUCAUAAGCAAAGAAAGCUUUCUAUUUAGGCUUUAAAUUAUAGGAAAGACUAGCAAAAGAAAAUUAAUGAAAAAAUACCAUGCACCUAAGCCAGUUGAAGCUUCCAACUCCCAUCUCUGAGGCAGGCUACAAUUACUAUUGAUUGUUUAUUGAUUGUCUGCAGUACACUUCACAUAGCACUGCAAAUAAUUAGACAUAAGGCCUUCCCAGCGGUCUCACUGUAUAAAUUCCAGAGACAGAUAAUAGACCCAAACACAAGAAAAGAGAAAUAAAAAUGGCUUAGAUUAAGCCAAAUCAUGACACAUUCUUUGAGUCCACAAAAUCCAAUCUUCCUGUUUAAGAUCUCUCCAAAGGAUUUUUCCAAGAUUAUUUCUAGGUUGUCAAAAUCAAACAGCAUCUAUCUAUACAGCCAUUUUGGUUUUGAUUUAUGAGUUCGCUUUUAGCUGGUUACUUCUUCCACUGUUGCUUGUUCUACUAUCAUUGUACAGAGAAGCAAAACAAAAUAAGAAUGCCAAGAACUCUACUUUUAAGUGCCUAUUGCUCAGAAAGAAGGCACAUCUCAAUAGCCUGAGCAUGGUGGAGUGGACGGGGGCUGCGUGUCCCUAAACAGCCACAGAUAGGCUUCACAGAAUCUGUUAACCCUCUGAAAUUCUAUGCAUGGCAAAAUGUCUUAUAUGUAGAGAUGAGAACUUUCCCUGUGAAAAGGACUACUGAAGAUCAGCAGACUCAAAAACUACUAGCUUCUAGUCACAGGGAUUCUCAACUGGGAAUGAGCAGGGAGCAGAAGAGCUCUGUACCACAGAUACACAUAGACACAUGUGCACGCAUGCACACAUACACAAUUUCACUCCAAGUUUUGCUUUUUGGGCCCAUCUAAUAGAAGCUCAAUUAAUCCAAAACUUGUUUUUCCAGUAAAAUUACUUAAGAAAUUUUAAUUUCCAUGUGAACAUGUUCAUAUGUAUUAAAACAAGGUGAAAUAAAAAAUAAUGAUGUUUCUUUGAGGAGCAGAAUUAUGAGUGGUUUUCAUUCUUUCUUUCUCUAUAUAUGUACACAUAUAAACAGAAGAACCUUAAACAAAUGCAAAAUAUAAAUUAUUUAUUUAAAGUGUUCUGAGUAUGUGCAAGGUCCUAGGUUCAAUCACAGUAACACACACACACACACACACACACACACGGCUGGGGGGAUAUAGCUCAGUGGAAAGUAAACACUUGAGACCCUGUGUUCAAUCCCCAACACCAUAAAUAAACAAAUAAGUAAAAAUGAAAUAAAAGAUAAAGUUUUCUACAAAUAAUAAUCAAACAAUCCAAUAUUUUAAAAAGAUAUUUUUAUUUCAACCACAUUAUAACUUCUCAUUUUACCUCCUCAUUGUAACCCCCCCAUUUUAAUGAGGAAAAAAAAAGUCUUAUCUGUACCUUACUUUGGCAUAUUUUCCAGAUUUAUUCAUUCAUCUUUCACUUCUAAAGUGAACACCACAAUUGACUUUUAUUAUCUACAUCACUUCUUUGAUAUGAUUAUUGCAAGAGUAGCCAAUCCUGGAGAAAUUCUUUUCUCCUCUAAUUCAAUAGUCAUGGUAGGAAUAACUACUAACAUUAAGUACUCACAAGUACCAGGCUCUUUGUAAGUACUUUGCAUAUAACAUUGCAUAUAAUUUUAUAACACUAAGAGGCAAUGUUAUUACCCCUUAUUUUAGAUCUGAAAAUAUGGAGGCUUUGAAAAGCAAAUUGUUUAAAUUACAAACCGGGAAUCUGAGAUUUGAAUCAUCUGGUGUGACUUAAAGCACAUGAAAAAUAUUCAACCUAGAAUUUAAUGAACUUUUCUCUGUCAGAACCAUCCCCUGGUUCCUCUCUAAAGAUACUUCACUUUGUAAAUUCAACUAUGGUUAAUUCCAUAUGUUGGCUUUGCCCCCCCCCAAAAUUGUUGCUUCCGUGUUUCUCACAGAAUUUUUCACCAAUCCAUAUCCUGCACUUUUAUUUAAAAUCCUUUCUCCAGAAAGUCUUCUAGCUUAAUACAUCUAAUGUUGAUCCCUUCUUCUUACUUCAGCAAUUAUAGCUCCAUGUCAGAGAUGGCCAAAUAUCCCCCAGCAUCCAUGCACCCCUCUACCUUCUUAGCAAUAAGCACAAAGCAACUUAGGUACAGAUGACACUUCCUACCUUUUCUUGCUGAUAGAUGGUGACACAUACACUAUACGAUAUGUAGUCAAUAACUUUUAUUUAUUAAGUCAGAAAGGCAUGAUAUGACAUGAUAUUUGUAUAAAGCUCCCAAGAGUUGCAAAGAGCUCAUUUCCAGUGGCGGCCAACGCAGCCCCAUAGUAUGUGUGUGCACACACACAUGUGUUGAUGGGGACAAAGGCAAGGGGGAAGAAGUCUUACCUCUUAGGGGUAUUAACCUCAAGUGUACAGCCACUACUGUUUCCAAAACAGGAAAUAAAAACACAGUCCUCCUGAUCCUUACUGCCUACUAUAGCUACUUGCCUUUGUCUAUAUGAGAAGGUAUGUUCAGCACAUGGUGUUCCUUACCAUCAAAGACCACUGGACAAGCAACUGUAGUUAAAAAUAUAUAACCACAAGUUAUUAUUAACCAUUGUGCAUUGCUAACAUGGCACUCAACAAAUGUUCAUAUGGUGUGUACUAACCACAGGGCAAAAGCAAAAAAAAAAAAAAGAAUGAAAGAAAAGCACACUUCUAAUUAGAUCUAAAAAUGUAUCCCAAAUGUGCUUCUAAUCACUCAUCUUCUCCGCUCUGUUGCCUUUUGAAGUGCCUCAGAGGCAUUAAACACUUCAGGAAAAGGGCCAGAGGUGACAUAUUUCCUCCUUCUUUCCAAUUCCAGACAGCAGCUCAUACACAUCACAACAUAAAGGUCACAAACAUAGACAGACGACUGUUCAGAAUACAAAUGCUGCAAGGCUUGUUUUUUCUCUGAGACGCGCUCCAUCCCAGUGAGCUGUAACAGGAAUACACUUGGCAGUUUGUCCUGUAAUGUAUCUGGUCGUGCCCUAUUGUCUACUCUGAGACUUGAAUUCACAGAAGGUGGGCUUCAUGGGGCCAAGGGCUGUUUAAUAAUGUGACAAUUAUUAACUCAGUAGCAAAAGUCAACUAAGAGAUCACUGACCCAACCUCCUACUCUUGUCCAAUAUCCCUCACAGAUGCCACCUGGCUUUUGCUGGACCGGUUCUGAGGGGCUCUUCUUGAUGGAAGCCAGAAGGCAGGAUAAAGCUGUCUAGGUACUGGGGACUCUAGAACUGCCUUAGUCCUAGAGCUGUCUGCAUUAUCCAGCAGAGAUCUAGUUGACCAGGCAUUUGAUACUGUGUUCGCAUCCUCCUGGGAAGCGUUGGGGGAACUGAAAGAAAGAGAAGCUCCAGGAUAGUCAACCAAUCUGGGAGGAGGGAGAUAGGACUAGGAAAAUAACAAAAAUAGCAAUGAGAAAAAGGAAGCCAAACACAUUGCAAAGAGAGAUGUAAAGAACAAGAGGCCAGCAACAGGUCUGGAAAGGCACGCUUAAGCAGAAAGACUGCUCUAACAAUGAGGGUUUGCUCUUGCUAACAUUGCACAGUAAACCCUGUCAGGUAUGAGUGGGGUUACAAAUAUGAGGUAGCUAGUUUAUUCGUGUUCCCAAGUUGGGGAAGUUUAUCCAUGACUAUCAAAAUUUUAAACAUAGAUCCUAAUGACAACAACCUUAUUGUUAGAAAGAUUUAUUCACAGACAUGCAAAUGUAAGAGCAAUGAUGGUCACUGAUUUGUUUGUAAUUGCAACAUCUACAACAAUAGAAUUAUAAAAAACCAAGAAGCCUCUGCACAGCAAAGGAAUCAAUCAAUAGGGUAAAGAAUGGAAGAAAAUAUUUGCAAACUAUCUGCAGGGGUUAAUAUCCAGAAUAUAUAAGGAACUAAAACACAGCAAAAAUACCCCAAAUCAUCCAAUUUGAAAAUGGACAAAUAAUCAGAAUACACAUUUAUCAAAAGAAGACAUACAAUAACCAACAAGUAUAUAAAAAAUGCUCAGAACACUAAUCACCAGGGAUAUACCAAUCAAAAUUAUAGAGAGACAUUGUUUUACCCCAUUAGGAAUGGCUGCAUCCAAAAAGACAAAAAAGUAACAAAUGGAGGUGAGGAUGUGGACAAAGGGAAACAUUUAUACACUAUUGGCAGGAAUGUAAACUGGUGUGUCUAUUAGGAGAAGAGUAUGGAGGUUUUUCAAAAAACUGAAAAUAAAACUAUCUCAUCAUAUAGAAAUACCUCUAUUGGAUAUAUAUCCAAAGGAAAUAAAAUUCCUAUUAUCAAAGAAAUAAUCACAUGACCAAGAUCAUUGCACCACUGUUCACAAAAACCAAAAUAUUAAUUAAACAAGAUGUCCAUCAACAAAUGAAUGGAUUUAUAAAAUGUGGUAUAUAGAGUCACUGGAAUAUUAUCUAGCCAUAAAAAAAGGACAAAAUCCUUUCAUUUUCAGCAAUAUGGAUGGAGCUAGAGGGCAUAUUAAGUGAGAUAAACCAGGCACAGAUAGACAAUUAACAUAUGUCUUCACUAAUUUGAGGAAGCUAAAAAGUUGACCACAUAAGAAGAGAAUUGAAUAGAGGUCACUGGAGGCUAGGAAGGGUAACUGAGACAUGGGAAAUAAAGGGUUGAUAAUAGUGCCAAAAUACAGUUGAGUGAAAAGUAGUUCUGAAAUUCUGUUGUAUAGUAGAGUAAUUGUAAUCUAUAAUAAUUAAAAAAAAACAACUAGAAGAAGAAAAUUGAAGGUUCUUAACACAAAGAAACGGUAAUACUUGAGGAGACAGAAAUGCUGAUUGCUUGAUCUUAUUAGAUACAGUGUAUACAUGCAUCAAAUUAUAAUACUGUACCUUAUAAAUAAAUAUAAACAUGUUAAAUAAAAAAUUAAAAAAGAAAAGAAAAAGAAUCUCAAAUACACAUGUUUGAUACAAUCACCAAACAAGGCUUUAUUUACUGUUCCUUAAAUAUACUGAUAAGACUAAGAGAAGUUAACUAUAUUGCUUUAAACUCUCAUUCCAUUAUUAGAUUGUACCACCUAUGGUAAAACAUAAACGAAUGUAUACUUUUUCGCAAAUUGUAUAAUUAUCCUGCUUUAGCACAAGCAUAUUGCAUUGCACUUUUCUUCUUCUGUUAAAAGCAUUAAUCUGGUUAAAGUAAAUAUUCAGGAAUAUGGCAUAACUUUUUUAGACUGAGGGAGAUCUAUAUUGUCUAACUGACUGAGAAGCAAGCAGUGCAAUGGGAAGCUAAAGCAGGGACUCCUUUUUAGAAAGCAUUUAUACAAAAGUUUGCUGUCCUUAUAUUACAAUUCAUUUGGAGGGAUUUGGGGCAGUCUGAUGGAGGUCAUAUGAGAAUUAAAGCCUUUGGCCUCCAUCCUGGCAGGAGGGUGUGCCUAAUUCAUAUUGGACAUUUCUUCAGUUUUUAAAAUACCAGGGACCUCCAAGAAAGAAAAUAUCCUGGGCCCCUUUUGACUUCUGAGAUGGUCUGGGGAACCCAUUUGUCAAUUCAAUAUGACCCAAAGGAGAUUCCUCUUGGAAAUAUCCAGAAGAACAUUAUAAAUGUACGAGAAAAUAAUUAGCAAACCAAAUGCCCAUCAACAAUGAAGGGAUACAUAAAAUGUGGUACAUACAUACAAGAGAAUCUUACUCAGCCUUAAAAAGGAAGGAAAGCCUGACACAUGCUACAACAUAGAUGAACCUUUAAGACUACAGAGAGAAAAAAAAAUCAGUCACAAAAAGACAAAUACUGUAUGAUUCUACUUACACAAGGUAUCUAGAACAGUCCAAUUGAUAGAGACAGCAGAAUGGUGGUUGCCAGGAAAGAAGAGAAUGGGGAAUUAUUGUUUAGUGGGUACAAAGUGUCAGUUUUGCAUGAUGGGAAAGUCCUGGAGAUGGACAUUAGUGAUGGUUUCCCAACAACAUAAACACACUGAACAUUACUGACCUGUACACUUUAAAAGCAGCAAAAUGAUAAACUUUACAUGAUAUGUAUUUUACCUCAAAUAAAAUUAAAAACAAAAAAACAAAAACAAACAAGUAAGAUAAUCCUGCACCAAGCCAAAUGUGCAUUAAGUGAUCAGUUAUAUAAAUCAUGGAAUGUGAAAAAAUUAAAAACGAAUGAGGUAAACAGACCUAUGAAAAGCUGUUCAUGCCAUGCUAGGAAUAAAGCAGGUUGUAAAACAUUUAUACUAAGAUGCCAUUUGUGGGAAAAAAAUGUAUUUAUAUGCAUAUAUGUAUUUGCAUGUACACCAAAAAAGAAAAAAAAAAAAGCUUUAUAUCUGGGGUUACUUCUGUGGGGGAAUGGGGAGUUUGUUGAAAGAUUUUUAUUUUCCAUUUUAGAUCUUUCUGUACUGUUUGAACAUAUAAUGUUUAUGUGCACUUUGCACAGAAUAUACUGUGCGGUUACAGAAAAAAGAUAACUAAGCUAACGUAAGUUUCCAAAAGAUAGUAUUAAGAACAAAAAGGUAGUUUAGAAAUAUUAUGUAUAAUUUGACCUCAUUUGUGUUUUUUUUUUUAAGUCAUGUGUGUGAAAGUAUUCCUAAAUAGGCCGGAAAAGUAUGUUCAACAAUGUUACUUAUUAGGAGGAGCAGAAUGCUUCUGUGCAAUCUGGAUUUCAAUUUCUUGAAAACAAAACAAAAAAUUGAAAGGUCUCUCCCACCUCUAGAUGUUGUUACAUAAGGACUAGAAGGGAUAAAAUGUUAGUUUAGUCAUUUCUACACUGUAGUUUACAGAGUCAGAUUAUAAUUAAAUUUCCCAAGAUCUUUUUUGGACUCUAAAAACUUCUAGCCUAACUAGAAACUCAUCAUUGCAGGUGAAAAAUAUGAAAGGCCAUGCUUUGCACCAGUUCACAUUGUAUGUGUGUGGCAGGACCACAGCUAGACACCAGGUACUGCUCCCCCCUGCCCCUUUCCAACCGUAACUUAUCUCACUAAUAAUGCAAUAACAGUUACUGAGAGUCUACUGUAUAGUAGGGACUUUGGUAUAUGGAACAAGGUAAAAAGCAGCAAGACACAGACUUUGCCUGGAAGAAAUUACAGAGAAUCCACAGAGUUCCUCAGUGCGAGGAGAAAGUCUGAGCAGAUCUCUCAUCCUGUGCAUCAGAACCAAACCUGUUUGUUCAGUUCUGAGACUCAGGCAUUGUGGAGCAUCCUGCAUGGAGUCAUGGAGACAGGGACACCCCAAUCAUUGUUCUUCCCUCUGUAGUCACCACAUAGAAAACAAAUACAAACAAGUAUAUUUGAUGCUUCAUGAAAUAAAUUGAACACAAAUAUACAUUAGCUAUCAGAAAAGAUGCUGGUUCCAGAGUAGCAGCAAGAUAAAUGCUGUUCCUGAUUACAAGGAACUUACGUUCCUUCCAACUUCAGUAGUGGUGAAUAGGACAAUGAACUCAGGAUGCAGAGGCCGUCCACAACAAACAGAAUUUACAAAUGAAAUUCAGAGGAGUCAUGGAAUAAGCCAUAAAUCAAAUAGUAAGCAAAGGAUUACAUAAACAAUUAAUAAAUUACAGUCAGCAUAAGAAAAGAGAAAUACAGGAUGCAUAAGAUCAAAAGAGACAGACCAAAGAGGGUUCUGCUGAUCAUGUGGUUUAAUUGCUGAAAAACACUAAUUGCUUGCCAAAAUACUGUUAAUGAGUGUUUUAAUGUUGGUGGUCCAACACUGUAAUGUGUAAAACAAGCAUUUUCUCAUACAUACCAAUUCCUUUAAUCAGGUGGCAGUUUGGAAGAUCUACAGAUUCCACUUCUCCGGUGGCUUUAAGUCGAUUUCUGUUUAAAACAAAACAAAAUAAAACAAACUUUGUUUAUACGUUCCCUGCUUUGUUCCAGAAAGGGUUUAAAGAGGCUUUUAGCAAUACAUAAAGCAGCAUAAACCUAAAGCAGAUGAAAGUGAAGACAGAAAAACAAGUGUAGGAACAUGAAACAGCACCAGAAAGAAGUUAAAACAAAAAAACACAAGGCGCUGAAGUUCUGCAUAUGGACAGGGCUCUGAGAGAAAGCCCAGCACUCGACAAACACAACUUGUUUAUAAUAUAACAGAGCACCAGGUCACAUUUCUUGCAGCUCUGAUGGGAAAAGACCUCAGAUGUAGCUCUAGGAGCCCUUUCCACUGAAGAGCCAAACAAUGAAACAUGGCAGUCUCACUCCAUGUCUGAAAAAGGCCAAGAACAAAGGGCACCACUCAGCACACACCCACAAAGAGUUACUAAGGAAUACAAUGUGUACCAGGGUUGGAAGUUUGGAGAGCACCAUCUAACUUUGGCAAAUUACUGAUCUGGUUGUUUUGGGAGGCAGGGAAGAAGAAGAAAUAACUAGGGAAUGUUGAACUCCACUAGGGUAUCUUCUCCCAUCAUUUCCACCCUAGAGGACUACAAGGCAGUUUGGGCCAAAACAUGUGGAAAUGACAAUUUUGAAGUACACAUACUGCGGGCUUUUUCUUCUCUUUUUCUCACCUCUCGGUUCUCUGGAGCCAUAAGAAACAGAAAUUGUAUUUGCAGGGAACUUGGCAAUUUUUAAAAUGGUUCCACACACAGUAAUCUGCCCCUCGUUCUCCUAUUUGAAUCCCUGACAGCUUCUGACUUCCAGACACUGAAUAUGGGAAAGGGUACUGGUUUCUUGGCAAAAUAGGGCCUAGGUCAUCCAGAACUACUAACUGGUUGGGCUAACUCUACAUUCUGACAAUUCAUAUCAUAAAGCUUCUAAAUAAAGUGUUAACCAGUAAGUAUUUGGAAUCAUACAACUCAAAUAAUAUUAAAUUUCUUGAAAUAAUACAUCAAUGAAACAAAUAAUGUAUAAAUAUAAAUAAUAAUAAUGUAUAAUGCAAAAACAAAAUACAUUAUUAAAAAAUUUAAAUCAAAGUAACAAAAUACAACAAAUCUCACUCUUACAUGCCCCAAGAGUAAUUUAAAAGGAAAAAAAAAAGAGUAUAUAAAUUACAUGUAGUGGUAGCAAUAGGAAUAAUGAUGAAGACUAUGCUGAUGAUAACCAUGAGUGGUGAAGGAAAUCAGUAAUACAGCAGUUAUAAUUCACUGUUGUUUUAAGUCUACUAUGGUUUUAAGUGAUUUACCUCAAUGAUUUCAUUCAAUUCUUCAAAGCAACCCUGCAAAUUAGGUACCAUCAUCCCCAUUUUAGAGAUGAUGAAACUGUCUUGAAGAAGAAAAGCAGUUUCCCUGGAGGUCCACUCAGUGAGGAAGCACUGGAGCCAGCUAUCACACAGAGGUGGCCCUUGCCCUACGACUCUGUGCUUUCCUCAGGAGCACUGAGAUCCGUGCUGAGUCCCAGCAGGAACACUCCAUGAUCCUUGGCAGAUCAGUGAGUCUCUGCAGGCCUCAGUUUUCCAUAUGGAUACAAGAAGGAUGAACCCGAAAGACUUCCAAGAUCCUGAUAAUAUGUGGCUCCAGAAACAGAUGUACAUACAAAUCAAUGGGUCACAGCUGUAGUUUGUACGUGAAGUAUCAUGUGUUGACUUGGGUGUCAAUUUUAUAUAACUUACCCACUAUGUCUAUUUGACUAUACAGAAAUAGGGAUGAUGACGAUUACCUCUACUUUUUCAAAGAUAAACUGUAUGAUUAAAUACAAUCUGUUCUACGUGAAUCCGAACCCACAACAAGGAAGGGAAAGAUAGAAGUUCAUUGGACUAGACAAAGGAGAAUGAAGGGGGAAUGGAAAUAGAAAAGACAGUAGAAUGAAUUGGACAUAUCUUUUCCUAUCGUAUUGAUAGGAAAUUAUGAUGUGGAGUUAUAUUGGUAUUCACAUGACCAAUAUAACUCCACAUCAUAUACAACCACAAUAAUGGGAUCCUAAUUGGAACAAGUUAUACUUAUUCUAUGUAUAUAUAAUAUAUCAAAAAUAAACUCCACCUAUGAAGAACAAAUUUUAAAAAAUAAAUAAUAAAUAUAAUCUGUUUAAAGAAACAUG